rnacentral:antisense_RNA from 1 species
UCUUGACUCCGCCCAGCUGCGCCACCUGGGCUGUACAGGAGGCAUGGCUGGGAGGCCUCAGAAAACUUACAAUCAUGGCAGAAGGUGAAGGGGAAGCCAGCACAUCUUCACGUGAUGGCAGGAACUUUAUAUGUUAUAAAAGUUAGCCCCAAGAAUGAAAUUGUGUCCUUUGCCAAAACAUGGAUGGAGCUAGAGGCCUUUAUCCUAAGGUGCUCUAUGCUUAGCCCAUCAUAGAUUGUGCCCCUUCAUUCCUGCAUUUGAUGAAUCCAGGGAACCCUCUCUCCAACACCCUUGGCCUCUCUGCAACUUUCUAACAUCAGGCAGAGUCAGAGGCACCAUCCCCAGAAGCUACAAAUCUUCAGCAUUCUUCACUCUGUGAAGUCAGAGAAAUGGAGGCACCAUAGCUCUGAGCUCAUUGGCAAAUACAACUAAUUUCAAUUUCUGGAAUGGAAGCAGUCAGAUAUUCUUCUGACUGCACGCGUAUGUGGGAGGGCCAUGUCGAAGAGUGGAAAAUAUGGAAGAUCAGUCCCUACAAACUUAAUAGGAGAAUGACAUUCAGAUUUCCCAAGUAUUUUGCAUGUCCAGCUGAAAACUGAAGUAGGUUUAUGAGAGAAUGCACGCCUACCUGGAUGGGUCUGGGGAGUGUGUCACUGUCACCACAGAUAAUUGACAAGGGCUGAUCAAAUAGCGAUGCUUUCAAGUCUGUCUCCAAAGCCCCAGAAAAAUCUGAUGCAGGGGAGAGCCUUCUCAUGAGAAAGGGCCAGGACAGCA